AUGCUUGCUUCGACAGCAGGUAUACUAAAAUUAGAACAACAAAGAGAAAAUUAACAUGUCCCCAGUGCAAGGAUGACAUGUACAUUAGGGAAGCAUUUCAUAAUUUU
ensembl:snRNA U6 U6 spliceosomal RNA